AAGUUGAUGCUUGUAUAUAGAUUGUUCAUAAUAUCAAAGUUCAUUUUAUUUCUACAGUUUCAAAUGUACAUAAUAAAACAUUAUUAAAAGAACGGUGGAGCCACCAACAUGGAUGUUUUUUAUUUAGAGCAUGAAGGAAGGAAACUCACGAGAUAUCCUGCCCAUUGGCCAAACCCCGAAAAUUACACCCCCCCCCCCAAUACGCCCGGCCAAAACUGUGUACAAACUUCGUCUUAACGCGCCAUAUUCGUUAUGGGACGUCAUCUGUUUCCCUCACAUAUCGGCCUCCCAUAUUAUAACAUGUGUAGAAAAGUGACGAGGAAAUUAUCAUGCAGCACAUAAUAUAAAAAUUAUCAAAUCAUAAGUAGAUUUUACUUCGGUUACGGCUGAACUGUGUAAGUUUAUUUAAUACUCAUAUAAAGCUUAGGGGGCCGAUAAGUUUGAUUUGUAAAGAUGACCAUAAAAUAAGUUGUGUUUGAGUAUUUUUGUUCGAAAUCCUAAAGUUGGUAAAAGUAUUUAACAGUUUUCUUAAAGUCAAUUUCCCGUUUCAUAGUAAGCAUUGAGAGGGGUCAAUUGGAUAAUGAAUGUGACCCGUUUGAAGGCCUACUGUACAAAUAUUUAUAUUAAAAAUAGGCUUAGAAAUAAAAACGACACACCACUAGUGAUAACAUCAUAAUUAAAACACACAGAACGAGUCAAAUGGUUACAUAGGCAUAUUUACACAUUCAUCUUUAGUAGUACAAAAGCAAGUUCCUUAGUUUUAUGAUGGUGGGCAACCACAAUUACUUAUACAACAGUGGGUGCGUUCGUUUAGCUUCCCUGCUGGGUCGACCCCGGGAAGCUAAACGAACGCGCCCAGUACUCUUAUUAUAUUCCUUGCAUUACGUCACAAGAUCUAAACAGCGCCCUCACUGGGGUCAGUGAAUACCUAUCAUUGGUUGAGAGCUGUGCGCGGCGCGUAUAAA